UGGGCUCGAAAUGCUAUGGACCAGCUUAUGAAAGUAGGCCUUCCCGCAAGGGACCGUAGUAUAGGUGCUGCAUGGCUGUCGUCAGCUCGUGUCGUGAGAUGUUGGGUUAAGUCCCGCAACGAGCGCAACCCUUGUCCUGUGUUGCCAUACCGAAAGGUGGAACUCGCAGGAGACCGCCAGGGAUAACCUGGAGGAAGGUGGGGAUGACGUCAAGUCCUCAUGGCCUUUAUGUCCAGGGCUACACACGUGCUACAAUGGACGGUACAAUGGGCUGCCAACCCGCGAGGGGGAGCCAAUCCCAAAAAACCGUUCUCAGUUCGGAUUGCAGGCUGCAACUCGCCUGCAUGAAGCUGGAAUCGCUAGUAAUGGCGGAUCAGAACGCCGCCGUGAAUACGUUCCCGGGCC
rnacentral:rRNA from 1 species